ACUUGGAAGUCCCGCGCCGGCAACCCUGAGGACGGCUUGCAGCAUAUCCUCAAGAUGUCGCCGGUGCACUGCGCUCCCGGCCACUGCACUCAGAAGAACAUCAAACGUCAGAAGCGAGUGAGACCACAUAGCAAAUAAGCUGGAAGCUAAGAGCAGCGUUGACACAACAGAUCAGUAGAGGAAACUUAGCGAUAGCAUACCACAAGGGUCAAGGCCAUGAAGUCUGCGGACUUAGAGGAGACCAGAGAAGAGAGACACAAGCACAAUCCAAGCAAGAAGAGCAGCCUGAAAGCAGCCAUUGCAAGAGAA